rnacentral:rRNA from 1 species
AUUGAACGCUGGCGGCAGGCCUAACACAUGCAAGUCGAACGAGUGGCGGACGGGUGAGUAAUGUCUGGGAACCUGCCUGAUGGUGGGGGAUAACUACUGGAAAAGGUAGCUAAUACCGCAUACCAUCGGAUGUGCCCAGAUGGGGUUAGCUAGUAGGUGGGGUAAAGGCUCACCUAGGCGACGAUCCCUAGCUGGUCUGAGAGGAUGACCAGCGACACUGGAACUGAGACACGGUCCGGAGGCCUACGUGAGGUAGCAGUGGGUAAUAUUGCACAAUGGGCGCAAGCAUGAUGCAGCCAUGCCGCGUGUAUGAAGAAGGCCUUCGGGUUGUAAAGUACUUUCAGCGGGGGGGCGUUACCCGCAGAAGAAGCACCGGCUAACUCCGUGCCAGCAGCCGCGGUAAGAC